CCUACGGGUGGCAGCAGUGAGGAAUAUUGGUCAAUGGGCUUACGCCUGAACCAGCCAAGUCGCGUGAGGGAAGACUGCCCUAUGGGUUGUAAACCUCUUUUGUCAGGGAGCAAUUGGCGCUACGUGUAGCGCUCUCGAGAGUACCUGCAGACAAAGCACCGGCUAACUCGGUGCCAGCAGCGGCGGUAAUACGGGGGAUCAGAGCGUUAUCGGGAUUUAUGGGGUUUAAAGGGUGCGUAGGCGGAUUGCCAGGUCAGCGGGAAACUCGCGGGGCUAAACCGCGCUCCGCCGUUGAAACUGGCGGUCUGGAGUGGGGGAGAGGUAGGCGGAAUGCGUGGUGUAGCGGUGAAAUGCGUAGAUAUCACGCAGAACACCGAUGGCGAAGGCAGCAUACCGGAGCCCAACUGACGCUGAAGCACGAAAGCGUGGUUAUCGAACAGGAUUAGAUACCCGAGUAGUC
rnacentral:rRNA from 1 species